rnacentral:lncRNA from 1 species
GGAGAAUAGAACUCACCUCUUGGCUUUAUGCAAGCAAAAAAAUUCACCUUCUUCUGAGCUUCUCGCACAUCCUUUUGUGUAUACAGUAGUGUUAUUCCUUAAUGGAUGCUAUCAUUAUGUUUCUCUUUUAAUGUUUUCCAGGUGGGAAAAGAAUGUGAACAAGGUUCUUCAGGAAGGUUUCUUCUCAGCUAGAAAAGGAGAACAGGCAUUUCUUAAGGAGGACUGCAGCCCAUGGGACUUGGACUUCAAACAACAAAUGUGCAGAGCUCACAUGAACUUGAAGCUGCCCUUUUAUUUGUGACAUCCAUAAACAUUUAUGAUGCUUGGUUUUCAUCCCAAUCUGCUUCUGAAAGUAAGAUGAGGUCUCCUCAGGAUGAGGUCUCAGCAUUUUGAGUUGAAUUCCUGAGAUCACAGGAAAAGGCUUUGGCUUUGUUUCUGACAUAGGUAGGUUAUGAGAUGCUGGCUGGUCUCUGUUUUUGACAGUGUGAAAACUUUAAUGUUUUUGGCUGAAAUGUUUUAUUU